AUUGAACGCUGGCGGCAGGCCUAACACAUGCAAGUCGAACGGUAACAGGAAGAAGCUUGCUUCUUUGCUGACGAGUGGCGGACGGGUGAGUAAUGUCUGGGAAACUGCCUGAUGGAGGGGGAUAACUACUGGAAACGGUAGCUAAUACCGCAUAACGUCGCAAGACCAAAGAGGGGGACCUUCGGGCCUCUUGCCAUCGGAUGUGCCCAGAUGGGAUUGGCUAGUAGGUGGGGUAACGGCUCACCUAGGCGACGAUCCCUAGCUGGUCUGAGAGGAUGACCAGCCACACUGGAACUGAGACACGGUCCAGACUCCUACGGGAGGCAGCAGUGGGGAAUAUUGCACAAUGGGCGCAAGCCUGAUGCAGCCAUGCCGCGUGUAUGAAGAAGGCCUUCGGGUUGUAAAGUACUUUCAGCGGGGAGGAAGGGAGUAAAGUUAAUACCUUGGCUCAUUGACGUUACCCGCAGAAGAAGCACCGGCUAACUCCGUG
rnacentral:rRNA from 1 species